UACGUAGGGUGCGAGCGUUGUCCGGAAUUAUUGGGCGUAAAGAGCUCGUAGGCGGUGUGUCACGUCGGCCGUGAAAACCUGGGGCUUAACUCUGGGCGUGCGGUCGAUACGGGCAUCACUAGAGUUCGGCAGGGGAGACUGGAAUUCCUGGUGUAGCGGUGAAAUGCGCAGAUAUCAGGAGGAACACCGGUGGCGAAGGCGGGUCUCUGGGCCGAUACUGACGCUGAGGGGCGAAAGCAUGGGUAGCGAACAGG
rnacentral:rRNA from 1 species